AAAUGGUUAAAAGCUCAAUGGGAAAAAUCUCCAAUUUCCAAAAUGGGAAAAAUCUUAAAUUUUUUAGAUAUUGCCGUGGUGAAAUUUUAACGUCAGUUAUGAGACAAAACCAUAAAUGUGUGAUAUCUCUGUCGUUUAUGCAUAAAGAAAUGCUAGAAUUUGGAUUCACAUUCCUAAUCCAUGUAAACCAAAACACAUCACAAGCUCCAAUUUCUUCCCACAUAUACUCCUCCUCCAAACCGUCUUUCUUCUUCUUCCAAACAUCCGGCGUCCACAGUAAAAGAUCAUCCAAGAUAAUUCUGUUGCCAAAGACUGUUUCAGAAAGAUUGGUAAAUGGGUGGUGGAGAGUUGAUUCAAAGACGACCGCAAUCGAAAUCUGUAGGUAGUUGCUUGCCGAUGACAACAUCUCCGUCUUGUUUUCCGGUUAAACACGAAGAUUACUACUACGCUCGGAUUCAUCGUGCUCCCAAGAGUAAUGAUAAUAGCCAAGAUGUUGUGAACAGAAUAAAGAGAAGAUGGAGAAAUUUAUUAAGAAGAUUAGUGUGCCAGAAAAAGAUUGAUAGUAUUUACGGAGCAACGAUGAGUAAUUCAACUAAUAAAAAACAAUUAACAUUUCAUUACGAUGCUGUUAGUUAUGCUCAAAAUUUCGAUGAAGGAUGUCAUCAUCGUCACAAGAUUAUUCCGUCGAGCAAGAAGAACAACUCCGGCAACUUGAUCAGAGAUUUGAAAAGCGUUAGUUCUAAAGUUGCUUGUUCCCGGUGACGAUAUAUGGUAUGAUAAAGAAGACGACGUUAUUCAAGAAAACAACGGAUUUUACAUUUACAGAUCGACUGCUCGGGACUUGAAAGAUUUCCAUGGACAUGUCAAAGAGUAAAGCCAAAUCAAUACGCAUAGUAAAUAAUUUGACGCGGCGGAGACACCUAAGUCAUCGAAAUGGUGCGUGUCGCGCAGCUGAGCAACUCAAGUUCUCGGUUCUCAGAUAAUCUGUUUACUUAUUAUAUGGUUUGCCUUUGGAAUUCGUAAUUAAGUUUAAACGAGCCAACAGAUAGUUGGAACUUGUGUAACUCAUUACUUCAAAGUUCAAAAUCGAUGAAAGUUCUUUGUAGUUCCACAAUUUUUCUGAAAAACGACUGUGUCUUCAACUUCGAG